AGAUCAUCAACUAAACAAUAGAUUCAUGAAGAUGAACAUACAGCAUUGCAUAAAAUCUGAUUCAUGGAGAUUGUGGAACCACCAUUAGAUCUUACUUCCUUAUCAGACCCCAGAUCCGAACAUAUUAAACCAAGUGAUGCAAAAUCUAAUGCAACAGAAACUCUUCAAAGUAACAAGACAAAGCUUGGAAGACCUUACAGUAUCAAGACAAUCAAAGGAAGAAGCCUAACAUGUACAAACUUUUCAGCUUGAAUAAAAGUUGAAUCUAGUGUUUUUGCACUAAUUGUCAGUCCCUUUUUAUCCCAGCCACAUGAUUCAGAAAUUUGUAUACCUGGCUCCCAGAAAGUGUCAUGCUCGAAUUCGUAUGCCAGGGAUGUCUUUCAAACCCAUUUUUAGUGCUGUUUUCCUGAACAAAUGAGGUGGCCUUUGUAAACCUAUUGACUCAGAAAAUCGAUUGGCUAGCUCAACAAGAGUUGUUUUAUCCCUGCCAAUUUCCCUGAUUGAAUUAUAAUAACCUAGCCAAGCAUGAUAUGCUGCUUCUUUGACACUACUAUCAAUCUUUGACAUUGAAUCCUCUACCUGAGAAAGUAAAUAGUCUCCAAAGGUCAAACACAAGAAACAAGCACAAAUCUGUACCCAAUAAACCAGUAGAUACAAGAGACUAAAAUCCUGGGAGACAUGCACUUGAAGAUGUUUAUGGGAUUUCCACCAAGAACUGGACAUGUUUUAGGCAGUGCCAAUAUCAAGAUGGUAACUCUGUACAUUCACCAGAGAAGACACAGCAUAAGCUGCAUCUGUCAAGAAAGCAGGCGAUCCCGUGGCAUUCUAUUCUAUUGUUCUGACAUGAAUCCAGCAGGUACAGCACAACAAUUUAGGUGGCCUCAUGAACUUCUGCAUGUUACUUACAAAUGCUACAUUCCCUUUCAAAUAAAUAAAAUUUUCCUAUAUUUUCAGCUUCAUUUUCCACAACCUACACAUUUCAGUAUAAAAUAUAAAUGCAAAUGCAAUUAAAUAAAGUUAGAAAUGGACCUUAAGUUUAGUUUCUCGAUCUACAUUAGGUAAAGGAAGUUUAUCAAGAGGCAGAUCUUCCAACUCAUUCAGGAAAUAUUCUUCCCAUGGAGCAAGCAAUAAGAUUCCUUCUCCAUCUUUGCCCUCACGCCCUGUUCUUCCAAGACGAUGGAUAUAUUGCUCCCGAUCAGCAGGAAUACCAGCCUGAAUUACCAAAGUAACAUCAGGAUAGUUCAUUCCGCGCGCUGAAACAUCAGAUGUAACAAGAAUUGAUCGUUUGGAUUCCUUGAAUUCAUCAGAGACUCGAGCUCUGUAUAACUGAGGUUUUCUAGAGUGCAUCUCCCUAACAUUCAUUUUCAUUUCCCGGAGAAGCAUAUACAUGAGUGAUGUUACCAUCCCAGUUGUGCAGAAAACAAUGACCUUGUAAUCAGGUGUUCGUCGGAUAUGCUCCUUCAAGAAAUAAUGCACUACUUGAAAAUGCAAUUCAUGCGGAACAACCAGGAAAGACUGCCUAACCUUAGCAGGAGUUUCUAGACAACCCAGGCCCAGCGUAUCAAUAAAAGCAUGCUCUCUUUUCAAUACAAGCUGAGAAAUUCGGCGAACCUCUUUUGGAAUUGUUGCUGAGAAAAGCAAGGAUUGCCUCUGCCGGGGCAAACAAUCUACAAUUUUUUCCACAUCUUUUCGAAACCCCAGGUCUAGUAGAUAAUCAGCUUCAUCAAGUAUAAGCAUCUUCAAGCCCAUCAAAUGCACAGAUAAACCACCUUUGUUCUCAAUGUGAUCCAGCAGCCGACCAGGAGUUGCAACAAUUAUCUGGCAUGGAUCUGAUUCUAAGCGCUUCUGAUCAUCUUUGAAACGCGUACCUCCAACUAGUGUUUGCACGCCUAUGCCAUCAUGGUAUUUCAGCAUAGCAUUUGCUUCUGCAGCUAUUUGACUUGCCAGUUCUCUUGUCGGACAGAUAAUAAGAAUGUAAACUGAAGACACCCGUGGAUUGGCAUUGCCACUUUUUGCUUUCAAAACUGCUUCAAUUGCAGGAAGCUGUUUGUCUUUAACAACAGAGCAGGAAUAUAUAUAUGACCAAACUAAUUCAUAGGAAUAUCUGGGAGUUGUAAAGUACCAAAAAAGCUGCAGUUUUGCCUGUCCCAGUCUUGGCUUUAACCAAAGCAUCCUUGCCAUCAAGGCAAACAGACAAAGUAGCCUCCUGCACUCUGGUCAUUUGAACAUAACCAGCUGCUGUAAGUGCCUUCACAGUCAAUGGUGAUAAACCACAUUCGUCAAAUCUUUUCUGACUGAGAAUGGAUUCCUCCUCACCUGUCUCACUCUUCUCGCCUUCAUUUUCAGCCAACUUUUUCUUCCCAAGCUCAUGUCUAAUCAACUCCACCUCCUUGGCAAAAUCCGACUCCUUCUCAAGCUCCUUCAAUGGCACUCUUUUCGUUGUCUUCACAUCAUACUUCCUCAAAGCAGCUCUACCCCCGAUCUCCCCUGCACUUCUCCCUCGCCUUUCCCCCUCGUUAUACGAAUCAAAUCCAUAAUCUUCAUCCUCGUCAUCGCUGGAAGAACUCCCAUUUCUCCGAAAUCUCCUCAGUUUAGGAGAAGAGAAGCCCCUAUUAUAUGAACUUCUCUGCGCCGAAUAAUCCCUUGUUUUUGUGUAAUUAUAAGACUUGCUAAAAUUUUCGCAAUCCUGCGAUACAUUACGUGCCUCUGAUAUCAGUUUCCUCAAAUCAAUAGGCGAAUUGAUCGAUCCCGGCUGUUGAUUCGGCCCAAUUGGCCUUGGCUUUUCAAUUGAAUUCUCCAACGGAGGUUUCAACGGGCCGUCGUUUUCAUUCCAUAAGUCUUCAGCUCCUUCUUUCAUGAAACGAUCCGCGAGGGCUUUGAUGUGGUCCUUUGGGGUCAUGGGGCUGUAAGAAGUGGUGUUCGUAUCCGGGCCGGAAUCCUGCUCAGAUUUUCCCGCGAGUCUGGCUCGGAGUUGGGAGCGGACUCGGGCUUGGUAUAGUUGUUUCUCUUGCUCGAGUAGUCUUUUUUCUUUCUCUCUAGCUCUUUUCUCGUGGAGGCGUUUCCACUGCCAUUUGUUUAGGCCACCAGGGAAGGUCCGCGGACCUCCACCCAUGAGCCGGGCAAAUAAUCGGGUUCGGAGGUGGUCUGAGAUGGUUCUGGAGCGUUGGAGGAAAAUUGGCGAGUGCAUGGUAGACGCCAGAGGAUGAGUAGAGGUAUGAUUUUGACGAAAAUGAUCAGGUCUCGAGGGUUUAGGGUUUAUGCACCAGUGGAAGCGAUUUAUGAAAAAAUAAAAAAUGAAAAUGUAAUACACUAUAAAAAAAUAAAUAAA
rnacentral:misc_RNA from 1 species